rnacentral:misc_RNA from 1 species
AACGCACAUUGCGCUCCCUGGUAUUCCGGGGAGCAUGUCUGUUUGAGAGGCGUGUUAAAUCAUUCCCUGGUCUUUUGACCAGAGAGAUCUGGCUGCUUUCCUGCGCUCUUGCCGGGAAUCGGCUGAAAUAAAACAGUCGGGGAUGUAUACCCAGGCACUACGUGACCAGUGUGGGUUUCCGCAUAAGCGUACAUGUCUGGGCAUCAAAGUCGCUGACCGCAUCUGGUGUGAGAAACCUUCUAGGCGAAACACCCGGAACCGUGGAUUACCACGCUCCUACUUUGCCCUCAAAUCAGUCAAGACCACCUGCUGAACUUAA